GGUCUCAAUCCCAGAGAUUCUGAUUCGAAUGACCUAAAGAAGAAUGGAGACAACAGAAGCUAUUAAAAGUUCCCAGGUGGCGCCCAGCAACAAAAGCUCCCAGCAGCAAGGGAAUAUCUGUGGGGAUUUUCAAUUGUUUGUUUGCAUACCAUCUCUACUCAAGUACCCAGCCUUCUCCCAGGCCAUCCUCACUGUCAAAGACAACGUUCAGGAAAUAAACUUAAUUUUCACAAGAGAUCAAGCACUUAUAUAAAUACUCUUAAUCUCAGCUAAUGCUGCAUUUUGACUUGUGGGUCCUCCGCAUCAAGGUGGAUAACCAAAAAUUACGUGCACUUACAGUUAAUAUUCUCAGGAGUCUACGUGGACUGGUGAAUGAACUGGUUCAACCAUCUUUCACAGGACGUUCAUGCAGGCCUGUGCAGGGGUGCUUCUUCACCUCCACUGAGCCCAGGCAUUGGCGUAGGUGAAGGUGUAGCUGCAUGUUAGCAGGACUCAAGGGCAGACGCUGCACAGCGUGGCCCCUACAUGUGGGCGGUCCGCAAUACUUUUGUCCUCUGCGGGCUGCACGAAGCAGUGAUAGUUGCUUUGUUUCUCCAGAAAAGCAGCUACGAAAUUUGGGAGCAGGGCUCAAUGAGAGACAAUGGGCGAGCAGACUGGCCCAAGGGUCAAGGGCACUUUGCCCACUUCUAGGAAUGCAGGUACUCCCAGCAGACACGGGGAGGUAGGCACGAGAAAUGGUUAGGUGUCAGACCCAAAGCGAUUCCUACUGUGUGCAGUGCAAAUCCAUUCCUCUGCAAAGGAACAAGGAAGACACAGGUGGCCAGCUCUGUGUGUGUUUCCUCACACUCAUGAAACCAGGACACAGCACCACUGGAAACUCUACCCUUGGUCUCCCACUCCACAGUAGCUCAGUCUGAUUCCAGCCUGGCCACCUGUCUCCAAACCUGCCCUUUUAUCUGGCGACAACAAGAAGCUCCAUCCACAAGCCACUAAGAAUCGAAGGAAUUAAAACUGGAAUUUGCCACA